GGAUGUUAGGGCAAUGAUCACCAGGGUUAAUUCAGCUGUUCUAGCUAUCCAGGUGGGUGUCCUCUUCCUCCCUCACCACUCCAUGGGUGUCCCUCCUGAAGCUGUACACUUGGUUGAAGAGGACAACCUUCCCCAAAUAGAAGAGGACCAGUCUCCAGUCAAGGGUAUACAAGUAGCUACACUCCCCUGCUAGAUCCUCCAAACAAGCUCUCAAAUGGUUUUCCACCAGAAUGAGUUAUUUCAUAUCUGCAAAUGGCACUUCUUACAUACACGGACUUUUCUACAGUGUGACUUA
rnacentral:snRNA from 1 species